rnacentral:rRNA from 1 species
CACGGGGGGAGCAAGCGUUGUUCGGAUUCACUGGGCGUAAAGGGUGCGUAGGCGGUCGGGUAAGUCUGACGUGAAAUCUCCAAGCUCAACUUGGAAAUGGCGUCGGAUACUAUUCGGCUUGAGGAAUGGAGGGGAGACUGGAAUUCUCGGUGUAGCAGUGAAAUGCGUAGAUAUCGAGAGGAACACCAGUGGCGAAGGCGAGUCUCUGGACAUUUCCUGACGCUGAGGCACGAAAGCCAGGGGAGCAAACGGG